GAACUUCCACAGAAUUACACAC
rnacentral:misc_RNA from 1 species